rnacentral:rRNA from 1 species
GACGAACGCUGGCGGCGUGCUUAACACAUGCAAGUCGAACGGAAAGGCCCUGCUUUUGUGGGGUGCUCGAGUGGCGAACGGGUGAGUAACACGUGAGUAACCUGCCCUUGACUUUGGGAUAACUUCAGGAAACUGGGGCUAAUACCGGAUAGGAGCUCCUGCUGCAUGGUGGGGGUUGGAAAGUUUCGGCGGUUGGGGAUGGACUCGCGGCUUAUCAGCUUGUUGGUGGGGUAGUGGCUUACCAAGGCUUUGACGGGUAGCCGGCCUGAGCGGGUGACCGGCCACAUUGGGACUGAGAUACGGCCCAGACUCCUACGGGAGGCAGCAGUGGGGAAUAGUGCACAAUGGGCGGAAGCCUGAUGCAGCAACGCCGCGUGCGGGAUGACGGCCUUCGGGUUGUAAACCGCUUUCGCCUGUGACGAAGCGUGAGUGACGGUAAUGGGUAAAGAAGCACCGGCUAACUACGUG